GGGGUGGUGGCGCAGUUGGUUAGCGCGUAGGUCUCAUAAUCCUGAGGUCGAGAGUUUGAGCCUCUCUCACCCCA
rnacentral:tRNA from 1 species